UGGGGAAUAUUGCACAAUGGAGGGAACUCUGAUGCAGCGACGCCGCGUGAACGAAGAAGGCUUUCGAGUCGUAAAGUUCUUUUAUAUGGGAAGAUAAUGACGGUACCAUAAGAAAAAGCCCCGGCUAACUACGUGCCAGCAGCCGCGGUAAUACGUAGGGGGCUAGCGUUGUCCGGAAUCACUGGGCGUAAAGGGUUCGCAGGCGGAAAUGCAAGUCAGGUGUAAAAGGCAGUAGCUUAACUACUGUAAGCAUUUGAAACUGCAUAUCUUGAGAAGAGUAGAGGUAAGUGGAAUUUUUAGUGUAGCGGUGAAAUGCGUAGAUAUUAAAAAGAAUACCGGUGGCGAAAGCGGCUUUUUGGCCUGCAACUGACACUGAGGCGCGAAAGCGUGGGGAGCAAACAGG
rnacentral:rRNA from 1 species